AGCAGCCGCGGUAAUUCCAGCUCCAAUAGCGUAUAUUAAAGUUGUUGCAGUUAAAAAGCUCGUAGUUGAACUUCGGGGUUUACCCAUUGGUCAGGCUUAAUUGUCUGUACUGGUGAGAUAAAUCUCUACCUUCUGAGGAACUUUCAUGCCAUUUAUUUGGUGUGAUUGGAAAUCAGGACUAUUACUUUGAAAAAAUUAGAGUGUUUAAAGCAGGCUAACGUCUGAAUAUAUUAGCAUGGAAUAAUGAAAUAGGACGGCUUGGUUCUAUUUCGUUGGUUUCUAGGAUCACCGUAAUGAUUAAUAGGGAUAGUUGGGGGCAUUAGUAUUCAAUUGUCAGAGGUGAAAUUCUUGGAUUUAUUGAAGACUAACUACUGCGAAAGCAUUUGCCAAGGAUGUUUUCAUUAAUCAAGAACGAAAGUUAGGGGAUCGAAGACGAUCAGAUACCGUCGUAGUCUUAACCAUAAACUAUGCCGACUAGGGAUCGGACGAAGUUAAUUUUAUAAUGACGCGUUCGGCACCUUACG
rnacentral:rRNA from 1 species